rnacentral:rRNA from 1 species
UACGAAGGGGGCUAGCGUUGCUCGGAAUCACUGGGCGUAAAGGGUGCGUAGGCGGGUCUUUAAGUCAGGGGUGAAAUCCUGGAGCUCAACUCCAGAACUGCCCUUGAUACUGAAGGUCUUGAGUUCGGGAGAGGUGAGUGGAACUGCGAGUGUAGAGGUGAAAUUCGUAGAUAUUCGCAAGAACACCAGUGGCGAAGGCGGACUCACUGGCCCGAUACUGACGCUGGACG